ACGGGGGAUGCGAGCGUUAUCCGGAUUUAUUGGGUUUAAAGGGCGCGUAGGCGGGACGUCAAGUCAGCGGUAAAAGACUGCAGCUAAACUGUAGCACGCCGUUGAAACUGGCGCCCUCGAGACGAGACGAGGGAGGCGGAACAAGUGAAGUAGCGGUGAAAUGCAUAGAUAUCACUUGGAACCCCGAUAGCGAAGGCAGCUUCCCAGGCUCGAUCUGACGCUGAUGCGCGAGAGCGUGGGUAGCGAACAG
rnacentral:rRNA from 1 species